rnacentral:rRNA from 1 species
GUAGGUGGCAAGCGUUGUCCGAAAUUAUUGGGCGUAAAGCGCGCGCAGGCGGUUCUUUAAGUCUGAUGUGAAAGCCCACGGCUCAACCGUGGAGGGUCAUUGGAAACUGGAGAACUUGAGUACAGAAGAGGAAAGCGGAAUUCCACGUGUAGCGGUGAAAUGCGUAGAGAUGUGGAGGAACACCAGUGGCGAAGGCGGCUUUCUGGUCUGUAACUGACGCUGAGGCGCGAAAGCGUGGGGGAGCAAACAGGAUUAGAUACCCUGGUAGUCCACGCCGUAAACGAUGAGUGCUAAGUGUUAGGGGGUUUCCGCCCCUUAGUGCUGCAGCUAACGCAUUAAGCACUCCGCCUGGGAGUACGGCCGCAAGGCUG